rnacentral:rRNA from 1 species
UACGGAGGGGGCUAGCGUUGUUCGGAAUUACUGGGCGUAAAGCGCGCGUAGGCGGACCUGCAAGUCGGGGGUGAAAACUCUGGGCUCAACCCAGAGCCUGCAUCCGAAACUGGCGGGCUAGAGUUCUGGAGGGGGUAGCGGAAUUCCUGGUGUAGCGGUGAAAUGCGUAGAUAUCAGGAGGAACACCGGUGGCGAAGGCGGCUACCUGGACAGAAACUGACGCUGAGGCGCGAAAGCUAGGGGAGCAAACAGG